GCAGCCGCGGUAAUACGGAAGAUGCGAGCGUUAUCCGGAUUUAUUGGGUUUAAAGGGAGCGUAGGCGGGCUGUUAAGUCAGCGGUAAAAUGUCAAGGCCCAACCUUGUCCUGCCGUUGAAACUGGCGGUCUUGAAUGCACACAAGGGAGAUGGAAUUCGUCGUGUAGCGGUGAAAUGCUUAGAUAUGACGAAGAACUCCGAUUGCGAAGGCAGUCUCCUGGGGUGUAAUUGACGCUGAGGCUCGAAAGUGCGGGUAUCAAACAGGAUUAGAAACCCC
rnacentral:rRNA from 1 species